AACAUCGGUGCGUUCGUUCCUUAUUAUUUACUUAUCGCACUUAUUUCAUUCCUGCAAUUUUUAAAUUCCGCAAGUUUACGCUGUUUUUUAUUAUAACUCUAUUCACCCCCCCUCUAGCGUUAAGCGUAUAUUCUAACAUAUAGGACAAGUAAAAGACUGUUGAGGAGAAAAAAUACAGCUAAUGUUAUUCAUAUGCUUCAUCUUAGAGAAAGGAAAAUGUCCAAGUCUAUAGUGCCAAGCAACAUCAGCAUUGUUGACUUUUUUAGGUACUUCAAUGGUAUUUACAAAGGAUAUAUCACUAAUUGCAUAAGAAGAACAAGAAACAGAACAAAAAGUAUUAAGAGAAGGAAAAAGUGAAGUAGAACACUGUUGCCCGGCAAAAAUGGCUUGUUGAAAGAGUUUGUAAAGCCCAUUUUCCAGCCUACCAAGUACCACUGACUUCUUCAAUGAAGGGUUUUGUAGAGUGCAAGCAGCCUUAGUAAACUUUACAAUAUCAGCAUCAUGACAUAAUAACUUAUGAACAGUAAUGAGAUUAUAUUGAAAACUAGGAAUAUAAAGAACAUUGUGAAGAGUAAGAUUAGGGAAUAAGACUACAGAGCCAAUAUUAGUAACUUUGACUUUAUAGCCAUUGGGAAGAGAAACUAGGUAAGGAACAUAUAAGGUUUGUAUAUCGAAUAAAUUUUAUUGGAGUUCACAUGAUCAUAUGCUCUUGAAUCUAUUAUCCAAACUAUUCCAUCUACUCUAUUCAUCAUACAAGCUCUAUAAGGCACUCAUUUUUGGGUAGGCAACAUACCGGCAAAUUUGGCAGACCCUAUAAGGUUGGAAUGGAGGGGAAGCAGUGAUUUGGGCCUGCUGCUGAAGUAACAUCAUCAGUUGGGAAUAUUGGUCCUUGGUAAGGCCAGGUACUGCAAAGGAAAACUGACUCUGAGACUGAGACAUAUCAGCACCACACUCCAUAGUAGGAACACCAAACAUUGUGUUGCAGUUAAGUUCAACAUGAGCAGCUGAUCUUUUGGACCCAAAAUUCUUUGUUGGUUAGAAAUUGGGUGGAAAUUCAUGCACUUAAUAGGACCUGUCAAUACUAUGACAAGGUUUUUUUCAAUACUUGCACACCCCAGAAGACCUAGUAGACUCAAAGGAAACCUUGGAGAGGAAAUUAGGCUUUGACAUACCAACAUUUUGAUUUGGUGUAGGAUUCAGCACACUAGCAGUGAAGAUAGCAGAAUUAGAGGGAAACUGAGUCCCAACACAUACCUGACUCUGCUUUUCAUCAGACAAAACAGAAGGAAGAGGCUUCAUCUUUAAGAUGUUACUCCUGGUUUGAACAUAAGUUUUAUCUAGACCCAUGAGGAAUUGAUGGGUCUAGAUUCCUCAUCCUCAGCUGAUUUGGCCCCACAAGUACAAACUCUUGCUCUACCAACUGAGAUGGAGGCAAUUUCAACCCACAAUUAUUUUAUCUUAUUGAAAUAGGAGGUUAUAUCAAGAGAUCCUUGAGAGAUAUGGGCCAAUUCCUUCUUUAAUUCAAAGACCUUGGGCCCAUCAGCUUUACCAUAUCUUUC
rnacentral:lncRNA from 1 species